GAUAUUUCAGUACAAAGGAGAUAAGAUAGAUUAUUUUUAAAAUGGUGCUGAUCCAACAUCCUAUUAAUCUGGAAAAAAAAGUAUUACUAUGUUGAGAUAAGUCCCAGAUUGAUGACAGAAAAGAAGUGCUUGAUUUUUUAAAAAGCACUCAUAUUUUAUUUUAACUCUAAGGCUAGCCCAUUUCCUAGUGGAGAAAUACUGAAGAUAUUCUUCCUAAACUAGACAAAGAUGCCCACAAUCACCACUACUUGUUAACAUUCUCGAAUUGAUUGCCUAUAUCUCCAAUAGAAAAGUAGAGGCAUAAAAGUUGGGGGAAAAAUAUAAUUCUAUAUUUUCAGAUGUCAUGAUUGCACACCUGAAAAAUCCAACAGAUACCAAAUGAAAAUGAUUAUAAGAAAAUUCAGCAAAGUAGCAAGAUAUAAAAUUAUUAAUAUACAGAAAUUAAGAGUCUUCAUAUCUGUAAAUAAUGACUUAUAAAUAAUGGGCAAGUAAAUCCCAUAUGAAUAACAACAAAUGACAAAGUAUUAAUAAUUAAGAAAUAUUCAGAACCUAGAGAAGAAAGUUUCUAAUAAAAAGGAUACAAAAGUUAACUUAGACAAAUGUAAAGACUGUGUUCUUUGACAGACAGACUCAUUAUCAUAAAGCAGUUGUAUUACAUUUACAAGUUGCUAAGGAACAAUAACAAAAAAUACAGAUUUUGUUUUCCUCGAACUAGACAAACCAAUUAUAAAAUUCCUGUGGGGAAAAAGUGAACAAAGAAUAGUCUGGUAAAUACUGAUAAAAAAAAAAAAAAGCAAUAAGAGUACUAUUCUUAUUAGGGGUUUAAACAUACUAUAAUGCAUCAAUAAUUAAGAGUGUAGGAUUGGCUUAUGAAAAGACAAACUAAUGAAACAGAGCAGAAAGUCCGGAGAAAGACUGGAAUGCGUAUGGGGAUUUAGUGUACAAUGAAGACUGCAUGCCAAAGCAAGGUUAAGAUGGACUUUUAAAGAAAUGAAGAGUGCUGGAAAAAUGGAGUGGCAAGUUGAAAGAAAAGAAAGCCAGAUCUGCACUCAUACAAUGUUAUGGGGAUACAGAAAUAAGCCCAAAUGGAGCAACAAUUUGAAUGUAAAAAUAUGAAAUGAUUAAAGUAUUAGAAAACGGCUGGGUGCAGUGGUUCAUGCCUGUAAUUCCAGCACUCUGGGAGGCCGAGGCAGGCAGAUCACGAGGUCAGGAGAUCAAGACCAUCCUGGCCAAGAUGGUGAAAUACUGUUUCUACUAAAAAUACAAAAAUUAACUGGGCAUGGUGGCACGUGCCUGUAAUCCCAGCUACUCAGGAGGCUGAGGCAGGAGAAUCACUUGAACUGGGGAGUUGGAGGUUGCAAUGAACUGAGAAUGCACCACUGCACUCCAGGCUGGUGAUAGAGUGAGACACCCUCUCAAAGAAAAAAAAUUAGAAAGCAACACAGAUGAUAUUAGAAUCAUGGGAAGACCUUUCUUCCUUAAUUAAAAAUAUUUUUAAAUUUUUUGCAGUGAUGGAGCCUUGUUCUGUUUCCCAGACUGGUCUCAAAUGCCUGGCUCAAGCAAUCCUCCCACCUCAGCCUCUCAAAGCACUGGAAUUAGAGGGAAGAGCCAUGGAGCCUAGCCAAGACCUUUCUUUCUUUCUUUUUAAAUUGAGACAUUGUCUCACUUUGGAGUGCAGUGAGGUAAUCCCAACUCACUGCAACCUCCACUUCCUGGAUUCAAGCAAUUCUUUUGCCUCAGGCACCCGCCACCAUGCCUGGCUUAUCUUUAUAUUUUUAGUAGAGACAGGGUUUCACCAUGUUGGACAGGCUGGUUUUGAACUCCUGGUCUCAAGUGAUCUGCCUGCCUGAGCCUCCCAAAGUCCUGGGAUUACAGGUGCCAGCCACUGUGCCUGGCCUGGCCAAGACCUUUUUAACUAUCAAUCAAAAUCUGGGUAGUUGCUUGGUUUGUUCAUUGCAGCACUAUUCACAAUAACAAAGACAUGGGAUCAACCCAAAUGACCAACAAUGAUAGACUGGAUAAAGAUAAUGUGGUACAUAUACACCAUGGAAUACUGCAGCCAUAGAAACCAAACUAGAUCAUGCCCUUUGUAGGAACAUGGACGGAGUUGGAACCCAUUAUCCUUAGCAAACUAACACAGGAGCAGAAAACCAAACACUGCAUGUUCUCACAAGUGGAAGCUGAACAAUGAAAACACAUGGAUACAGGGAGGAGAACACACACUGGUGCCUGUCAUGGAGGAUGGGGGAAGGGAGAGCAUCAGGAUAAAUAGCUAAUGCACGCAGGGCUUAAUACCUAGGUGAUGGGUUGAUAGGUGCAGCAAACCACCAUAGCACACGUUUACCUAUACAACAAACCUGCACUUCCUGCACAUGUAUCCUGGAACUUAAAAUUAAAAAAAAAAAUCAGAAUAGCAUAAUAGUCAAAUGUAAACACAUAUAAACCAAACAUUUAUGUAUGUCGAAAAUAUCCAAUUAGCAAAAUCAAAACAUAAAUGACAAAUAGAAAAGACAUUUGCAAUUCAUAGCCUAAACUGAGUGCUUAUAUGUAUUCUCACAUAUAAAAACAUCUAGAAUGAAAAGGCCAACUUUAUAGAUAAGUGAGCAAAGGAUAUGAAUGAAUAGUUCACAGAAAAAAAAUACAAAUAGCUACUAAAAAACGAGAUGAUGCUAAACUUCACCAAUAAAAGUGCUAAUUAAUAGUACACUGAGACAGAAUUCCUCAACUAUCCAUUGGCAAAAUCCAGAACUCCUAUAGCACAUUAUUGGAUAGGCUAUGGGGAAACAGACACUUUCAAACAUUGCUGGUAGGAGUAGAAAAAUGGAAUAAUGAAAACAACAACAAAAGCAGGAGAUCAUGGCGGAUGGAAAGCAGGACUAGAUUGCAGCUGUGGACAGAGCAGCUUGCAGAAGCUCGCAUUUGAAUUUCAGCUCCAGAUUGACUACAAAAACAAACCAGUAAUCCCAAGAGGACCCACAGACACUCUGAAGGAAGUGGACUGCUCCUGCAGGACCCACACUUUUGCAGUAUUACACCAAAAAUACUGUAAGUGCCCCAACUGCAGAACUGGGAAAGGGAGACUCUCCUCUCCCAAACACACAUCCCCACUGGAGAAGCUGAAGGUCUGUUUGUGGAAGAAAUUUCUGACUUUACCUGGAGCUGAGUGAUUUAGAGAGCCAAGUGAAAUACGGUGGUAGAGGAAGCAGCAGAAAGGCCCAGGGAGCUUGCUGCAUUCCCUAGCAGGCCAUUCCUGCCUGGCACCACAGGGAUCCAUCGUGAAGGUGACCAGAGGAGCAGGGGGUAAAACUCCACAGGGAGAAGGAAUUCUCUAGCUGAGCUUUGUAACAAUUUGAAUGGGGUGAGAAGCCUCCUGGCCAGAACUCAAAUCCUGUGUGCAGACUCCACAGGUGGGAAGAGUCAAGCCUUUUUCUUUUCCAGCUGAGAGGUGGGUAGCCCAGGGAAAGGUUUUAAGCCUCUCAUGCUCUCUGCCUGGAAACAGACUGGGGCCUGUCACGGGGUCAGGGGAGGCACAGUGGGAGUGAGACCUUCAGUUUGCGUGGGAGCUGGGUAAGGCCUGCGACUGUCAGCUUUCCCCACUUCCCUUAUAACCUGCAUGAUUCAACAAAGGCAGCCAUAAUCCUCCUAGGUACACAACUCCAGUGACCUGAGAAUCUCACCCCCCAGCCCCCACAGCAGGCACAGCCAGACCCACCUGAGGAGAGUCUAAGCUCAGACACACCUAGCCCUACCCCCACCUGAUGGUCCUUCCCUAUCCACCCUGGUAGCAGAAGACAAAAGGCAUAUAAUCUUGAGAAUUCUAGGGCCCCAACCACCACUGAUCCCUCUCUCUACUGCUAUAGCUGAUGCUUUCUGGAAAGCACCCCCUCCUGGAAAGAAGCCAAGCAGCACAAAAAUAGAGCAUUAAGCCACCAAAGCUAAGAACCCUCAUGGUUCAUUGCAACCUCUGCCACCUCCACCGGAACAGGUGCUGGUAUCCAUGGCUGAGAGACCCAUAGAUGGUUCACAUCAUGGGACUCUGAAGACAACCUUUAGUACCAGCCCAGAGCCGGGCAGAAUCUCUGGGUGGCUAGACUCAGAAGAGAGACAACAAUCACUGCAGCUCAGCUCACAGGAUGCCAUAUCCACAGAAAAACAGGGAGAGUACUACAUCAAGGGAACAACCUGUGGGACAAAAGAAUCUGAACAACAGCCUUCAACCCUAGACCUUUCCUCUGACAGAGCCUACCCAAAUGAGAAGGAACCAGAAAACCAACCCUAGUAAUAGGACAAAACAAGGUUCUUCAAUACCCCCUAGAAAUCACACUAGUUUACCAGCAAUGGACCCAAACAAAUAAGAAAACCCUGAUUUACCUGAAAAAGAAUUCAGGAGGUUAGUUAAGCUAAUCAGGGAGGGACCAGAGAAGGGCAAAGCCCAAUGCAAGGCAAUCCAAAAACUGAUACAAGAAGUGAAAAGAGAAAUAUUCCAAGAAAUAGAUAGCUUAAAGAAAAUACAAUAAAAAAUUCUGGAAACUUUGGCCACACAUUUAGAAAAAGUAAUGGAGUGGAAGAAAGCAUUUCAUGCAAAUGGACACCAAACGUAAGCAGAGGUAGCUAUUCUUAUAUCAGACAAAACAAAUUUUAAAGCAACAGCAGUUAAAAGAGACAAAGAGGGACAUUCUAUAAUGGUAAAAGGCCUUGUUCAACAGGAAAAUUUCACAGUCCUAAACAUAUAUGCAACUAACACUGGUGCUCACAAAUUUAUGAAACAAUUACUAAUAGACCUAAGAAAUGAGACAGAUGGCAACACAGUAAUAGUGGGGUAUUUCAAUACUCCACCGACAGCACUAGAUCAGCCAUCAAGACAGAAAGUCAACAAAGAAGCAAUAGAUUUAAAAUAUACCUUGGAACAAAUGAACUUUACAGAUAUAUACAGAACAUUUCAUCCAACAACCACAGAAUACACAUUCUAUUCAACAGUGCAUAGAACCUGCUCCAAGAUAGACCAUAUGAUAGGUCAUAAAACAAACUUCAAUAAAUUUAAGAAAACUGAAAUUAUAUCCAGCACUCUCUCAGGCCACAGUGAAAGAAAACUGGAAAUCAACUCCAAAAGGAACCUUCAAAACGAUGCAAAUACCUGGGAAUUAAAUAACUUGCUCCUUAGUGAACAGUGGGUCAAAACCAAAGAUGGAAAUCUAAAAAUUAUUUGAACUGAAUGAUAAUAAUUACUCAACCUAUCAAGACCUUAGGAUACAUCAAAGGUGAUGCUAAGAGGAAAGCUCAUAGCCCUAACCACCUACAUCAAAAACACUGAAAGAGCACAAACUGACAUUCUAAGGUCACACCUCAAGGAACUAGAGAAACAAGAACAAACCAAACCCAAACCCAGCAGAAGAAAGGAAAUUGGAAAUUACCAAGUUGAGAGAAGAACUAAAUGAAAUUGAAACAAACAAACAAAAAAAUGAAAGUUAAAACUGGUUCUUUGAAAAGAUAAAUAAUGAGUGCAGUGACUCAUGCCUGUAAUCCCAGCACUUUGGGGGGUUGAGGCAUGUGGAUCACCUGAGGUUGGGAGUUCAAGACCAGCCUGACCAACAUGGUGAAACCCCAUCUCUACUAAAAAUGCAGUUAGCCCUGCAUGGUGGCGCAUGCCUGUAAUCCUAGCUACUCAGGAGGCCAAGACAGAAGAAUUGCUCGAACCCAGAAGGCGGAGGUUGCAGUGAGCCAACAUUGCACCAUUGCACUCCAGCUUGGGCAACAAGAGUGAAACUCUGUGUCUAGAAAAGAAAAAAAAAGAUAAGGCCAGACAUGGUGGCUUAUGCCUGUAAUCCCAGCACUUUGGGAGGCUGAGGCAGGUGGAUCAUGAGGUCAAGAGAUUGAGACCAUCCUGGCAAAAAAGGUGAAACCCUGUCUAUACUAAAAUACAAAAAUCAGCUUGGGGUGGUGGCAUGCGUCUGUAGUCCCAGCUACUUGGGAGGCUGAGGCAGAAGAAUUGCUUGAACCUGGAGGCAGAGGUUGCAGUGAGCCAAGAUUGCACCACUGCACUCAAGCCUGGCACCUGGCAAAAAAGCAAGACUCUGUCUCAAAAAAAUAUGAUAAGAUAAAAUUGAUAGAUCAUUAGCAAGAUUAACCAAGAAAAGAAGAGAGAAAAUCCAAAUGACCUCACUAAGAAACAAAACAGGAGAUAUUACAACUGACACUACUGAAAUACAAAAGAUCAUUUAAGGCUACUAUGAACACCUUUACACACAUAAAGUAGAAAACCAGAAGAGAUGGAUAAAUUCCUGGAAAAAUACAAUCCUCCUAGUUUAAAUGAGGAAGAAUUAGAUACCCUGAAUAGACCAAUAGCAAGCAGCAAGAUUGGAGUGGUAAUUAAGAAAUUACCAACAAAAAAGGUCCAGGACCAGAUGGAUUCACAGCAGAAUUCUACCAGACAUUCAAAGAAGAAUCGGUACCAAUCCUUUUGACACUAUUCCACAAGAUAAAGAAAGAAAGAACCCUCCCUAAUUCAUUUUAUGAGGCCAACAUCACCCUAAUACCAAAACCAGGAAAGGACAUAACAAAAAAAGAAAACUACAGACUGAUAUCCUUGAUGAACAUUGAUGCUAAAAUCCUUAACAAAAUACUAGCUAACUGAAUCCAACAGCAUGUCAAAAAGAUAAUCCACCAUGAUCAAGUGGGUUUCAUACCAGGGAUGCAGGGUGGUUUAAUAUACGUGAGUCAAUAACUGUCAUUUACCACAUAAACAAAAUGGAAAACAAAAAUCAAAUGAUCAUCUUAAUAGAUGCAGAAAAAUAAUUUGACAAUAUCCAGCAUCACUUUAUAAUUAAAACUUUCAGCAAAAUCAGCAUACAAGGGACAUACCUUAAGGUAAUAAAAGCCAUCUAUGAGAGUCACAGCCAACAUAACAGUGAAUGGGGAAAGUUGAAAGCAUUCCCUCUGAGAACUGAAACAAGACAAGGAUGCCCACUCUCACCACUCCCUCAACAUAGUACUGGAAGUCCUAGCCAGAGCAAUCAGGCAAGAGAAAGAAAUAAAAGGCAUCCAAAUUGGUAAAGAGGAAAUCAAACUGGCACAGUUUGCUGAUAAUACGAUUGUUUAACUCAAAAAUCUUAAGGACUCCUCCAGAAAGCUCCUAGAACUAAUUUAAAAAUUCGGCAGUUACCAGAUACAAGAUUAAGGUACACAAAUCUGUAGCUCUUCUAUACACCUACAGUGACCAAGCAGAGAAUCAAAUCAAUAACUCAACCCCUUUUGCAAUAGUUCCAAAAAAAAGAUACCUAGGAAUAUACCUAACCAAGGAAUUGAAAGACCUCUACAAGGAAAACUACAAAACUCUGCUGAUAGAAAUCAUAGACAACACAAACAAAUGGAAACACAUCCCAUGCUCAUGGACGGGUAGAAUCAAUAUUGUGAAAAUGGCCAUACUGCCAAAAGCAAUAAACAAAUUUAACACAAUCCCCAUCAAAAUACCAUCAUCAUCCUUCACAUAAUUAGAUAAAAUAAUCCUACAAUUCAUGUGGAACCAAAAAGGAGCCCACAGAGCCAAAGCAAGACUAAACAAAAAGAACAAAUCUGGAGGCAUCAUACUACCUGAUUUCAAACUAUACUAAAAGGCCAUAGUCACCAAAACAGAAUGGUACUGGUAUAAAAAUGGGCACAUAGAUCAAUGGAACAGAAUAGAGAACCCAGAAAUAAACCCAAACACAUUCAACUAACUGAUCAUUGACAAAGCAAACAGAAACAUAAAGUGGGGAAAGGACACCCUUUUCAACAAAUGGUGCUGGGAUAUUUGGCAAGCCAUGUGUAGGAGAAUGAAACUGGAUCCUCAUCUCUCACCUUAUACAAAAAUCAACUCAAGAUGUAUUAAGGACUUAGACCUGAAACUAAAAAUUCUGGAAGACAACAUUCAUAAAACCCUUCCAGACAUUGGCUUAGACAAAGAUUUCAUGACCAAGAACCCAAAAGAAAAUGCAAUAAAAACAAAGAUAAAUAGCUGGGACCUAAUUAAACUAAUGAACUUUUACAUGGCAAAAGGAACAGCAAACAGACAACCCACGGAGUGGGAGAAAAUCUUCACAAUCUAUACAUCUGACAAAGGAUUAAUAUCCUGAAUCUACAGUAAACUCAAACAAAUCAUUAAGAAAAAAACAAACAGUCCCAUCAAUAAGUGGGCUAAGGACAUGAAUAGACAAUUCUCAAAAGAAGAUACACAAAUGGCCAACAAACAUAUGAAAAAAAUGCUCAACAUCACUAACAAUCAGGGAAAUGCAAAUCAAAACCACAAAGUGAUACCACCUUACUACUGCAAGAAUGACCAUAAUAAAAAAUAAAAAAAACAGUAGAUGUUGGCUUGGAUAUGGUAAACAGGAACACCGCUACACUGCUGGUGUGAAUGUAAACUAGUACAGCUUCUAUGGAAAAGAGUGUGGAGAUUCCUUAAGGAACUAAACGUAGAACUACUCACUACUGGGUAUCUACCCAGAGGAAAAUAAGUCAUUAUUUGAAAAAGAUACUUGCACACAUGUUUAUAGUGGCACAAUUCACAAUAGCAAAGUCAUGGAACCAACCCAAAUGCCUGUCAAUCAAUGAGUGAAUAAAGAAACUGUGGUGUGUGUGUGUGUGUGUGUGUGUGUGUGUGUAUGUGUGUGUGUAUAUAUAUAUAUAUAUGAUGGAAUACUAUGCAGCCAUAAAAAGGAAUAAAUUAACAGCAUUUGCAGUGACCUGGAUGAGAUUGGAGACUAUUAUUCUAAGUGAAGGAACUCAGGAAUGGAAAACCAAACAUCAUGUCUUCUUACUGAUAUGUGGGACCAAAGCUAUCAGGACACAAAGGCAUAAGAAUGACAAUGGACUUUGGGAACAUUAGAGGAAAACUGGGAGGGCAGUGAGGGAUAAAAGAAUACAAAUAUGGUGCUGUGUAUACUGCUCAAAUGAAGAGUACACCAAAAUCUCACAAAUCACCACUAAAGGACUUAUGUAACCAAAUACCACCUGUACCCCAAUAACUUAUGGAAAACUAAAAAAUAAAAUUAUAAUUAAAUAAAAACUUUUAAAAAAGAAAAAUGAAAUAGCCAUCAGGAAGGGGUUUCUAGAAAUAUCUACUAAAAUUUCAGAUGCAUUUACCUUUGAUUUAUUUAUAGGAUUCUCAUAGAUAUUACGAAUACGUUCUGAGAAAUGUAUUAUUAGGAGAUUUAGUCAUUGUGUGAAUUCACAGAGUGUACCUACACAAACCUAGAAGAAAGUUAGGUUAGCCUAUUGCUCCUAGGCUACAAACCUGUAACACAUGUUACUGUAAUGAAUACCAUAGGCAAUUGUAACACUAUCUAAGUAUUUGUGUAUCUAAACAUAGAAAAGUUACAGUAAAAAAUAUAGUAUUAUGAUCUUAUGUGAUGGCCAUAGUAUAUGCAGUCAAUCAUUGACCAAAACAUUUUAAUGCAGUUUUUUGCAUGACUGUAUAUUAGAUAAAUAGAUAGUAUCUGUGCUAAUAUGAUAGUUGUACAAACAAUUGUCAUUUUUUUGUUUAUAAAGCAAAACAUUAGAACACAAGUAUCCAGCAGUAGGGGACUGGUUGAAUAAAUCACAGUAUAUCUAUACAAUAGAAAACUAUGCAUCUGCAAAAAAGAAAAAGGAAUAAUUCUAUCUAGUACUGACUUGGAAACAUCUCCAGAAUAGGGUCUCACUCUGUCACACGAUCUCUGCUUACUGCAACCUCCACCUCCUGGGCUCAAGUGAUUCUCCCAUGUCAGCCUCCUGAGUAGCCAGGACUACAGAUGUGGGCUAUCACAUCCUGCUAACUUUAAAAUUAUUUUGUAGAGAUGAGGUCUCACUAUAUUGCUCAGGCUGGUCUUGAACUCCUGGGCUCAAGCAAUCCUCCCAUUUCGAAGUGCUGGGAUGGUUACAGGUAUAAGCCACUGUGCCCAGACUUUCCAGAAUAAUUUUUUUUUUUAAAUAGAGUUUCACUCUUGUUGCCCAGGCUGGAGUACAGUGGUGCGAUCUCAGCUCACUGCAACCUCCAACUCUCGGGUUCAAGUGAUUCUCCUGCCUCAGCCUCCCAAGUAGCUGGGAUUACAGGGGUGUGCCACCACGCCCAGCUAAUUUUUGUGUUUUUAGUAGAGAUGGGGUUUCACCAUGUUGGUCAGGCUGAUCUUGAACUCCUGACCUCAGGUGAUCUGUCUGCCUCGCCCUCCCAAAGUGCUGCGAUUACAGGCGUGAGCCACCAUGCCUAGCCCAGAAUAAAUUUUUAUGUUACAACAAGAGCAAAGAAUAAAAUAGUGUAUAUUCUAGACUAUUUUUAUGUAAGAAAGGAGAAAAAAAUAAUACAUUUAUAUUUGCGUAAAGAAAUACCAGGAGAAAUACAUGAAUACAUGAAUACAAACAUUAAACUAUAGCAACUAGAGAGAAAAAUAAUGGAAAAGCAAAAAUAGGAAUGAGACUUCUGUCUCUUCUUAAACUUAUUUUUAUAUUUGAAUCAAAGUAUUAAAGUGAAUAAAAAUAGAAUAUUUUCUUAGAACUUGGUGCCAAGUUUUAGAGCAAAGAUAUCUGAAUAAACUUCAGCAAAGUAACAUGGUUUGGAUUACUACAUAGGGAAAUUGCCAGCAGUUUACAGCUGAUUUGCCAACUUUUAUUAGGGUAUUUUAUUUUUUAGUGAAACUUGAAAACUCCAAAAAUCUUGAUGAAAUUCCUUACAUCAGACACUGAGAACACAGUAAGAAUAGACGUUCUUGCUCUCAAAGAGUUCAAAUCAGGGAGACAAAACCAUAAACAUUAUUGUAAGGCACAAGAACACCAAGAGCUAUACACAAGGUGUAAUGUGAUUAACUACUUUUUUUUGCCAAGGAAGGCUUCCUAGAGGAGAUGAGAGCCAAGCUAGAUCUACAGGAUGACUAGGAGCUUGAAGGUGAUCCUGGAAAACAGGAGACAUUUCAAGCACAGGGAACAGCAUGUGCCAUGGUGUUUAGGGAACUAUAAAGUUCAGUGUUGCCCCCCACAGGGUAAAGUGAGGCAGGAAUAAUACAGGGUGAUUCCGGAAGAUUAAAAAAACUCCAGGCAGCGUUUCACAUGACUAGAGGCUAUGGGCUGAUAAAACCCUGAAAAACAAAAUGUGGACCAAGCUGGCUAAGACUGACUGGACCCAACAUGGCACUGGAUUUGACCUACGUUUCACAAAUAGGACCUUACUAUACACGCAUUAUCAUACUAAAUCACCGCCCCCCACUCAGUACCAUGACAGUUCCAAGAACACCCAUAUUUAGUAUAAAAAUGGGUAGCAUUGCAGUUCCCAGAAAUAUCUACCUUUUUCCAGGAAUUUUCAUGAAUAUUCCACUCCUUGGUUAAAGAAAUCCAUAAAGGUAACAGCCCCAAACCUCCUUGUGAGUGACUCUUGAGUACACCGGAACUCCCUUUUAUUGAGGGUGUUUUUUCCCCUUUGCAAUUAAUCUCUGUAACCUUCACUAUUUUCUGACUUGUCCUUGAAUUAAUUCUUGCAAUGGUAUCAAGAGCCUGCACAGUGGCUGCAGUCAAGGUUUUACCGGCAUUUGGGGAUCCCCCCCAAGCCCACUGGUAUCAAAAGUACCACUUUGUUAGUCUCAAAGCAACCUUUCACAACUUGGCUUUCUUUUCAUCCUCAUUUCUUACCACUCUGGAGGCCUAAAAGUUUACUGGCAUAUAAGAUUUCACAGAUAGGGAAGCCUUUGGUCCAGAGAAGGUCCGAAGAGUGGCCCCUUGGAAUUGUGGAUGUCAAGGAUUUCUGAAGUGGGAGCACUGGCUGAGCUAAUUAAAGAGCGGUGGCAAGAGUUUGGGGUAGAGAGCAAAACUGUUACCCAAGUAUGUUAUACCUCAUAAAUAUUGGAAAGCAAGGCCCAUGUAAAUAUAACUUCAUUUACCAAGUAAGUAUUGUGUUCCAAGCACUGUCCUCAGAGAUCUUUCAAACAGAUAAAUGAUAUUAUACCUUUGCUUAAAAUUAUUGCUUCUCAUUACAUUUAAAUGGAAGUAAUGAAACUGUACCCCAGAGACUUAAACCAGUAACUAACAGAAAUUCUUGAGUUUGCAGGAUGGCAGAUGAGAAACAACUUGCUGAAACACCAAAAUUCCCUCCACUUGUAAGAUAAUGAAGCCAGCUGAUAUCAGUUGGAACCAAUAUGACCAAUUGGAGUCUGCACAGAAUGAGCCUGCUGACAUCACUGUGAAUUUCCACUGCAUGUUUCAUAUGAACUCACCCUUGAAUAUGCACAUGGGACCCAUGAGUUAGCAUGAAGAGCACUUCUCCUUGCUGCUACCAUAUGAAGAGGAAUGUGUUUGCUUCCCCUUCCACCAUGAUUGCUCAGAGGUGAAAGGGGUUUUCCUUAUUUCAGGUAAGACUUUGGACUUGCACUUUUGGGUUAAUGAUAGAAUGAGUUAAGAUUUGGGGGGACUGUUGGGAAGACAUGAUUGUGUUUUGAAUGUGAGUGACUACAUGAGAUUUUGGAGGAGCAAUGGGUAGAAUGAUAUGGUUUGGCUGUGUCUCCACCCAAAUGUCAUCUUGAAUUGUAGUUCCCAUAAUCUCCACAUGUUGUGGGAGGUAACUGAAUCAUGGAGAUGGUUACCCCCAUGCUGCUGUUUUAGUGACAGUGAGUGAGUUCUCAUGAGAUCUGACGGUUUUGUAAGUGCCUCUUUGGUUGGCACUACUCCUUGCUGCUCCAUGUGAAGAACGAUGUGUUUGCUUCCCCUUCUGCCAUGAUUGUAGGUGUCCUGAGGCCUCCUAGCUCUGCAGAAAUGCAAGUCAAUUAAACCUCUUUGAUUUGUAAAUUACCCAACCUCAGGUAGUUCUUCAGAUCAGUGUGAGAAUGGACUAAUAUAGCCCUCAUAUUCAGGUCACACAAAUUCUGCCCAAGCCUACAUCUCUGACGGCACUCUGUAACACCUCCCCCAUCAUAAUGGUACUUCUCUCUAGGAAGUACCAGGCUGCCUUAUGUCUAUAAUACCCUCUAUCCUUUGCUUCUUUGCCUGAAUCCUACUUAUCCUUCUAUUGUAAUUUUAAAUGUCAUCUCCUAACCAAGCCUUUCUUUCAACAAGCUCAACACCAUCUUAAUUUACUUCCAAUUAAACACUUGUUAUAUUUUCUUUCAUAUCAGAUUUUGUCAUUGUGCUUAUGUAUUUACUUUUUUAAAGAAACUUUAUUCUUCCCAGAAACUGCAAGCUUCAUGAGAGUAGGAAUUAUUUGUUUUGUUGAGUACUUUAAAAAGUGCCUGAUACAUAGUAAUACACAAAGGCUUGUGAAAAGAAUGGAUAAAUUUAAUCCUCAUAACAACUUUGCCAAAUGAUAUUCUUAUCCUUCUUUUCAGACAUGGAA